rnacentral:rRNA from 1 species
CGAAAGCCUGACGGAGCAAGACCGCGUGGGGGAAGAAGGCUCUUGGGUUGUAAACCCCUUUUCUCUGGGAAGAAAGUUGUGAAAGCAACCUGACGGUACCAGAGGAAUCAGCAUCGGCUAACUCCGUGCCAGCAGCCGCGGUAAUACGGAGGAGGCAAGCGUUAUCCGGAAUUAUUGGGCGUAAAGAGUCCGUAGGUGGUUCAUCAAGUCUGCUGUUAAAGCGUGCAGCUCAACUGCAUAUAGGCAGUGGAAACUGUUGAACUAGAGUAUGGUAGGGGUAGGGGGAAUUCCCAGUGUAGCGGUGAAAUGCGUAGAGAUUGGGAAGAACACCGGUGGCGAAAGCGCCCUACUGGGCCAUAACUGACACUGAGGGACGAAAGCUAGGGUAGCG